rnacentral:misc_RNA from 1 species
GGAAGUAAAUCGUAACAAGGUUUCCGUAGGUGAACCUGCGGAAGGAUCAUUAUUGUAUAACCGAGGUGCGAGGGCUGUCGCUGACCCGAAAGGUCGUGCACGCCCGAGUGCCCUCACACACAUCCAUCUCACCCCUAUGUGCACCACCGCGUGGGUCCCCCUUUGGCUUGUUCGGAGGGGGGCUUACGUUUUCACACAAACUUUGUAUGCAGUGUAGAAUGUAUUUUUUGUUUUUGCGAUCACGCAAUCAAUACAACUUUCAACAACGGAUCUCUUGGCUCUC